UAACAUGUUUAACCCUGCCACAUUAUUUAUGUAUGUGCCUGUCCCAAGUCAGGAGCCUGUAAUUCAGUGGUUGUCGUUUGUUUAUGUGUUACAUAGUUGUUUUUCGUUCAUUUUUUUACAUAAAUAAGGCCGUUAGUUUUCUCGUUUGAAUUGUUUUACAUUGUCUUAUCGGGGCCUUUUAUAGAUCACUAUGCGGUAUGGGCUUUGCUCAUUGUUGAAGGCCGUACGGUGACCUAUAGUUGUUAAUGUCUGUGUCAUUUUGGUCUUUUGUGGAUAGUUGUCUCAUUGGCAAUCAUACCACAUCUUCUUUUUUAUAUAAUUG
rnacentral:lncRNA from 1 species